rnacentral:rRNA from 1 species
UCCUUAGAUGUUCUGGGCCGCACGCGCGCUACACUGUUCGACGCAGCGAGUCUUAACCUUGACCGAAAGGUUUGGGUAAUCUUCAGCAAAGUCGAACGUGAUGGGGAUCGAUCAUUGCAAUUAUUGAUCGUGAACGAGGAAUUCCUAGUAAGUGCAAGUCAUCAGCUUGCGCUGAUUACGUCCCUGCCCUUUGUACACACCGCCCGUCGCUACUACCGAUUGAAUGGUUUAGUGAGAUCUCUGGAUUGACGCUGGCUAGGGGGCGACCCUUGGCCAGACUGCUCGAGAAACUGCUCAAACUUGAUCAUUUAGAGGAAGUAAAAGUCGUAACA